CUAGUAAUCGCGAAUCAGAAUGUCGCGGUGAAUACGUUCCCGGGUCCUUGUACACACCGCCCGUCACACCAUGGGAGUCAGUAACGCCCGAAGCCGGUGACCCAACCAACUGGAGGGAGCCGUCGAAGGUGGGACCGAUAACUGGGGUGAAGUCGUAACAAGGUAAC
rnacentral:rRNA from 1 species